rnacentral:rRNA from 1 species
GUCCACGCCGUAAACGAUGGAUGCUAGCCGUCGGCAAGCUUGCUUGUCGGUGGCGCAGCUAACGCAUUAAGCAUCCCGCCUGGGGAGUACGGCCGCAAGGUUAAAACUCAAAGGAAUUGACGGGGGCCCCGCACAAGCGGUGGAGCAUGUGGUUUAAUUCGACGCAACGCGAAGAACCUUACCAGCUCUUGACAUGUCCGGAAGGUUUCCAGAGAUGGAUUCCCCCCAGCAAUGGGCCGGAACACAGGUGCUGCAUGGCUGUCGU